UACGUAGGUGGCAAGCGUUAUCCGGAUUUAUUGGGCGUAAAGGGAGCGCAGGUGGUUUCUUAAGUCUGAUGUGAAAGCCCACGGCUUAACCGUGGAGGAUCAUUGGAAACUGGGGAACUUGAGUGCGGAAGAGGAAAGUGGAAUUCCAAGUGUAGCGGUGGAAUGCGUAGAUAUUUGGAGGAACACCAGUGGCGAAGGCGACUUUCUGGUCUGUAACUGACACUGAGGCUCGAAAGCGUGGGGAGCGAACAGGAUUAGAUACCCGGGUAGUCCCUGAG
rnacentral:rRNA from 1 species